rnacentral:rRNA from 1 species
AGGACGAACGCUGGCGGCAGGCCUAACACAUGCAAGUCGAGCGGCCGUAGCAAUACGGCAGCGGCAGACGGGAGAGUAACACGUGGGAACGCGCCCUUCGGUUCGGAAUAACUCAGGGAAACUUGGGCUAAUACCGGAUACGCCCUUACGGGGAAAGAUUUAUUGCCGAAGGAACGGCCCGCGUCCGAUUAGCUUGUUGGUGAGGUAACGGCUCACCAAGGCGACGAUCGGUAGCUGGUCUGAGAGGAUGACCAGCCUCACUGGGACUGAGACACGGCCCAGACUCCUACGGGAGGCAGCAGUGGGGAAUAUUGGACAAUGGCGCAAGCCUGAUCCAGCCAUGCCGCGUGGGUGAUGAAGGCCCUAGGGUUGUAAAGCCCUUUCGGCGGGGAAGAUAAUGACGGUACCGCAGAAGAAGCCCGGCUAACUUCGCGCCAGCAGCCGC